UAACCUGCCCAAGAGAUCGGGAUAACACCUGGAAACCAGAUGCUAAUACCGGAUAACAACAGAUGAUGCCUAUCAACUGUUUAAAAGAUGGUUCUGCUAUCACUCUUGGAUGGACCUGCGGUGCAUUAGCUAGUUGGUAGGGUAACGGCCUACCAAGGCGAUGAUGCAUAGCCGAGUUGAGAGACUGAUCGGCCACAGUUGGGACUGAGACACGGCCCAAACUCCUACGGGAGGCAGCAGCU
rnacentral:rRNA from 1 species